rnacentral:lncRNA from 1 species
CAGCUAUGUCCCUCACAGCCACAAUCGUGGAAAUUUAUAUCCACCUCUACCCUGACUAAUAUGUUUACUGUAGCUUUAAGAGUGCUGGUUGCUAACAGCUGAUGCAGUAAUGAGACGGUCACUCGCGAAGAACUGCUAGAAUUAGUGAAUACUGGGCGUUAGGCAGUAAAUCGUGCAUGUGCCAUAAACAGUCUAUACAAGAACAAACAUCGCAGCAUGCUGAGAGGAUGCGUGUGAAGACCAUCAUCAGCUCUGCAGAUCUCACUGACCGUCCUGUCCUGUGACUGUCCUGUGAGGAACUGUCUACUGCAGCAGUGGAUUUACAGAGGAAAACGUGCUGAGACCAGGGUUAUUUUGGAUUUCUUCAGUGUUAUUACUGUAAUUUACUCCCCUUUGCGCGAGUUUAGCACCUGAAUUACAAAAUAAGAAUCCUUCUUUUAAAACACUGCGACAAAGCGUGAUAUCUAUGGGACAAACCGUGGGCUUAACAGCACGAGCCGUUUACUAAACCACAUCGGUACAUCGCAGGAGGAGGGUCCAAGAGCAAAACACGGCCACACGAAGCUUAUAGCGCACAGGAUGGGAUGAUUCUUUCAGAGUUAGACCAAAAGGGUCAGAGUAAAUCAAUGAAUGCCCAAUGCGGAGGAUUUUCUCCGGAAGAUAACGGUACGGCAUAAUGCUCCAUGCGGAGUGAUCGGUGAAUGUCUGUGCACGCGAAUAACCGCAGUUUGGCUGAAAAGCAAUGGCAACCGGUCACGACCCGUGGUUGCCAUGGGUGAUAGUCUGUCAUGACUAUCUAGGCAAGAGGGUCUUCCAGGUCCCCCCGUCUACAGUGAUCAGGUACAUCAAAAACCUGAUCUGCCAAGAAACAGACUAUCCUGUGUAUCAGCAGCAGCUGUUUCACAAUGGAAAACUGGUUCAUGAUGGGGUUGAGGUUGGAAGCUUGGUGCCUCAUGGGAGCCAUGAAAUAAUCAUGACAUUGCAUGGACGAGGCCUGAGAGGAGGAGGGAGGUUCGGACAGACUACACCACCAUUGGUUGUAUUUUUGAAAGAUAUUUUGAGAAGAUAUCCAGAGGGUGGACAAAUUCUAAAAGAGCUGAUUCAGAAUGCAGAGGAUGCUGGGGCCACUGAGGUCAAGUUCAUGUAUGACGAGACGGAGUAUGGAGUGGAAUCACUGUGGUCAAAUGAUAUGGCUCAGUAUCAGGGAACGGCAUUGUAUGUCUAUAAUGAUGCUGUCUUCACCACAGAAGACUGGAAUGGUAUCCAGGAGAUUGCACGGAGUAGAAAAAGAGAGGACCCUCUUAAAGUGGGAAGAUUUGGUAUUGGAUUUAACUCAGUCUACCACAUAACAGAUGUUCCUAGUAUAUUCAGUGGGGAUCAAAUUGCAAUGCUGGACCCUCAUCAGAUGUUGUUUGGAGUACAUGAGUCUGGCCAGUGCUGGAAUUUGAGGUCUGAUAUAAAGGAAAUAACCGAGCUUAAUGAUCAAUUUGCCCCUUAUUUUGGCCUGCUCGGUAGCUCAGAGAAAACCAUUAAGGAUGGCAACUUUCCAGGAACACUCUUUCGUUUUCCACUCCGAAUGAUACCCUCACAAUUAAGUCACAACAUUUACAAUAAAGAAAAAGUUCUGGAGCUCUUUGAAUCAUUCAAAGUUGACGCAGACACUGUGUUGCUCUUUCUAAAAAGUGUGCAGAAGGUCUCUCUGCAUGUACGGGAAUCUGAUGGAACAGAGCGAAUGCUUUUCCAGGUCACAGCAAGCGACAGCCAAGAAGAUAAGAUGGAGUGGCCCAACUCUCUGAAGACCCUGGGACAGGCUUUAGAUAGCUACAGUAAUGGCGUGCUGAGCAGUUCAGUCACCUGUGCCACCUACCAACUAUCCAUUGAUGUGCAGGAUGAAACUGCCAAAGAGACUCAAAAGACCACCUGGUUGGUGUGUAAUGGCGUAGGAGGACGAGGCAUGUGCGGUGAACUGGAUUCUCUUGCUGAUGAUCUGAAGUUCAUCCCAACUAUUGGUAUUGCCUUGCCACUUACGCUUAUUGAUGAGGACAAGGGGGCAACUUCUAGUUUCUCAGGACGUGCUUUCUGUUUCCUCCCACUGCCCCUUGGAGAAGAAAGUAUGACAGGAUUGCCGGUCCACGUCAGUGGUUUCUUUGGUCUGACGGACAACCGCAGGAGCAUCAAAUGGCGGGAGGUGGACCAGUGGAGGGACCCAGCGGCUCUUUGGAACGAGCUUCUCAUAGUCACAGUCAUUCCAAGGGCUUACUUCACACUCAUCAUGGAGACCAUCAGGAGAAUCCAAACUAAGAAGGACCAAGAUUUUCCCCUUUCCCCGAGAGGUAUUUAUGGAGCCUGGCCUGAUCCAAACAGAAUCCGACCUCACUGGAAACCCAUUCUUGAGCCCCUUUUCAAUGACUUGCUUCAACAGCCGGUCAUCUACUCGCUCAACUGGAGCUGGGUAGAUGAAACCAUAUUCUCAGACUUGGACCCCAGCAUGGACACUACAGAGACUGUUAUUAAAUACCUCCAGAGCUCAGGGAUGAUGUUGGCUCAGGUGCCAACCUACAUUGAUGCAGUACUGACAAUGUUUGUCACCAAGCCAGGUAGCCUGAGGAGAGUGACCCCUUCUUUUGUUCGCCAGACUCUGAGGAAAUGUCGCCAUAGAGGGUCCUCUAAUGAGAAGCUGCUUCUGCUAGAGUUUAUCCUUAGCGAUGCUUGCUAUAAUGACCUCAUUGGACUGGAGCUUCUACCUUUGCAGGAUGAGACAUUUACUGUGUUCUCCUCUUCUGUGAAUGACAAAGAUGCUGUCUACAUCGCCUCAGAGGAGUAUCCAAGGUCCCUUUAUCCAGGACUGGAGGGAAGAUUUGUCUUGGAAAGCAUUGCCCCUCAUGUCAUGACCAGCCUGAAAGAAGCAGCCAAAAGCAGAGGUAGACACCUGCAGCUCAUAAUGCCACUCACAUGCUCUUAUUCAGGAUUUAUUGAGCAUCUGCUCUCAGUUCCAUUCCUCUGUAGUGAAAAGUAAUCUUGUUCAUGCAUAGUCUGCUGUAGGGAGUAACAUUUUUGAGUUUCAUGCUUGCUAUUAUGGCUGUCAGAUUUUUGAGUUAUGCUUUUUCAUGCUUAACCCUCUGUUUUUUUUUUUUCAAAUCGCUACUUAAUUGGAAUGGUACAAAACUCAAUUACUUUUAUGGCAGUCACUUUGUGACCAAAAAAACUGUCACACUUGUGUUGUUUGCAGUCAAAAAUGACCGCCAUGUGAAAUGAAUGGAAAAUACAGAGAAGUUUGUGUGUGUAAAAUCUACAAAUCAUUCACGAUACAGAAAAAAUGUGCACAGCAAUGAAAGGAGUGACACUCUAAAAUAUAUAUACAAAUAUAUACAUAUAUGAACUAGUGUGACUGUAACACAAAGCAUGUUUUUGCAAAUGCGUGAAAUAAAAUCAAUAACUCACACUCA